UCCUUAGCGCUGCACUUUUCUGCGCGGUUCUCUUUAUGGCACUGGUUUGACGUGGGGGUGGAGUCAAGAAACGGGGGCACGCCCCCGCGAAACACGUCAUCGGCAGGAGACGCAGAUCGCAACAGGACAGAUCAAGCAUGGCAGAGCAGAUGCAAGUGGGAGGAUUCCAGGUAUGUAAAGGUGAUUGUUUCCUUUUAUUUAUCGUUACAAUGUGCAUUGUUUUUUUUUUCUAAAUGCGAUUAUUAUUAACGGCAUUUGCCAAAGAAGUUAGAGAUAAUUUGCACGUGAACUUGUUGUAAAAGGUUAGCAUCGUACGUCAGUUUUCAUAAUUUGCACGCUUUUUUACUGUUGAUGAAUGUCUAUUAUGAUUUUUGUUUUUUGAGCAGAUUGUACAUGAAUAAAUAAAAAGUAAAUUGAUUUAAACAAACGUCCCAUCCCAACAUUUUUAAAAUUCUGCGUUAGUUGGCUAAGUUUAAACGAUGCUCAUUGUUAGUGUAUGAUUUAUUUUGCUAUAACACGUUUUAGCAGAGAGAGAAUCCAGAUGUUGCUACUGUGGCACACAAUUUAAUAAAUCUUCUGACCCAAAGCCUGGGUCAGAUUCAGGCAGCUCAGGGUCAUCAGCAGCAGCAACAACAGCAGCCUUCUGCUAUUACUCCAAGAAUAGAGCAGGAUAUGACCAGGUUAUCAUCAGCACUCUCUCCAAACAAUUAAAUGCUUUCAUUUGUUGAUCUUUUGCACCUUUUAAUAAAAGGAACACUGUUUAUUGUUUUAUAGAGCUUUUCCUGGGAUGUAAAAAAAAAAAAAAAGAAAAAGAAAGAAAAACCGCACACCCUCAAGUGCAAUCAAAAGCAACAGCUUGAAAGCCAUUUAGCAUUCACAUUUAUCUUUUAAGGGUCAAUAUCACUAUAAAGUGCCUCUGAGACUGCACAAUUUCCAAAAUAAAAAGUUGUGAUUUUCCAUUUAACUUCAUAUGUUUUGUAUUAAGGAGACCUUAGGCUGUUAGAAAUGCAUAUUGGUCAAGCUCCAGCAUUUUUUAUAAAUUAACUGCAAGCAGGCAAUAUACAAGCAAACCACAAAAUAUGUCCACCCUGUCAUGGACAAAUUUAAAGUAGUUUAAAUACAUUUUCAUUGCAUAGUGAUUAUGAAAUGUAGAUUUGCAGAAAGAUAAUGUGUCCCUUUCUCAACAAAACAUUUUAGUUAAUGGUAAAAGUCUUUUGAUGAUAACGAAAUUACUGCUAAAAUAUUUAUUCCCCAAUAAAAUAUGCAACUUGCACAUUCUUUUCUAAAUAAAAUCUAACAACAAAGAUAUUUAGUCAAACUUUAAAAUAAUACUAACUGGCCUUCAUUUGUUUAUUAAUAAAUCGCACAAAAUAUUUUAUUAACUUGUUAAAAUAAUUUAUUUUAAGAAAAGUUCAAGAUGACAGGGUGGACCUUGGCAUGACAGGGUGGACAAAUGCUUUAAUGCUGCGUUCACACCGAACGCGUCUGGAGCGUCUGAUUUACGUUAAGUCAAUGCAAACGCGCGUCUAGAGGUCCUGCGACGCGAAUCAAGAUUCUAGCGUGGCGCGAAUCGGCUGUUGACGCGCGAAUGGCGCGGCGCAAAUUGAGCGUUCACGCGCCUGACACGCGAAUUGAGCGUCUGAUGCCCUAGACGCCCGAGUUGAAAAAUCUGAACUUUGGCGUAAAUUUGCGGCGCGUUAACCAAUCAGGGACUCUGCUUUGGAGUUACGUGUUUAUGGCGUGAUCAGCGGUGGAAGACCAGAACAAAGAUGGAGGACAAAUUGAUAGUUGCGGUGUGUGGCCACCCUGAAUUGUAUGAUGUAUCAUCAUAUUUUUAUCGAGACAGGAAUAAAAAGGACCUUGCCUGGAAGAGGAUAAGCGAGGAAAUCGGACAGUCUGAGGAAUGGUGCAGAAAAAGAUGGAAGAGUCUGAGGGACACAUAUUUGAAAGAGAGGAGAAAGGAGACAGAGAAAAGGAGUGGGUCAGCAGCAGAGUCAGCCAAAAGGUGGAAGUACUCUGCGGUCCUGUCCUUCCUCGAUCCCUUCGUCUCCCCGCGGGAGACGAGUGGGAAUAUGGAGAGUAGGGACGGGGAUAAGCAGACCGCAGGGUAUGACCACCAGAGUCAGGCAGAAGCAGCAGCUAUCGGAGACAGGAGAGCCAGCUGAUUCUUUGGAAGGCAGUGAGCCUGGGUCACCUCCACCAGAGCCCGAGUCCCCUCUGCCAGAGCCUGCUGCUGCUUCUCCUGCUCAGGCUGGCCCAUCAGCUGCUGCUGUACCCACUGUACCACCAUCGAGGAGGAGGAGAAGGCCUCCGGAAGAGUCCAUGAAUUUUGAAAAGGAGCUGUUAACAGCUCUGAGAUCCAGGCCUCAACCUCCUCCCUGCUCCGAAGAUGAGCAUUUUCUUUUAAGUCUGCUUCCAUCACUGCAGAAGUUGCCGCCUCAGACGAAGGAAUUCGUCAAAUUUCAAAUAAAUAAAUUAAUUUAUGAAAGCAGCACUGUUCUGCUUAAUUUGGAAACAUUGGAUUCUACGGAGUAGAUUUUUUUUUUUUUAUUAAAUGAGGCAUUAAUUUCUGCAGGGAAUGAAACAGACUUUGUCUCCUUUCUCCUCUUUAAUUUGUGUCCCUCACUAUCCCAUCGUCCCUCUUCCAAUGCAUGGUCCUUUUUAUUCCUGUCUCACAUGUAAAUAGUUUAAAUGUUAUUUUUAUAAAGUUAUUAAUGUUAAUUUGUCACAUGUAAAUAGUUCAAAAGUUAUUUUUAUAUUA